UCCCUAUUGACUAGGGCAGUUUCCUGUGAAAAAUACAACACAGGAUAGGGGUUGCGCUCGUUAACCGACUGAACGGGACACCUCACGGCACGAGCUGACGACAACCGUGCAACACCUGUCAUCUGGUUCCUUGCGGCACGGUCCUGUUUCCAGGACUUUCCAGAGAUGUCAAACCUCGGUAAGGUUCUUCGCUUGCUAUCGAAUUAAACCGCACGCUCCUCCACUUGUGCAGGUCCCCGUCAAUUCCUUUGAGUUUUAAGCUUGCGCUCGUACUCCCCAGGCGGCCGACUUAACGCGUUAGCUUCGAUCCAAGGGAGGGUCGAUACUCCCCAAGACCUAGUCGGCAUCGUUUACGGCGUGGACUAC
rnacentral:misc_RNA from 1 species